rnacentral:lncRNA from 1 species
ACACACACACACACACACACACACACACACACACACACACACACACACACAUACAAACACACUUUUUUUUUUUUUAAACUUUCUGGUACCACAGCACCCACAAUGGCAAUCUUUCUUAUAGAGACCUAAGGUCAGGAGGCAGCAGGCUGGAUAAAGACUCUUUAUGACUAUGCAUCCCUUUGUGUCAAUAAAUUGUAAUCUCGUUGAGGAGGUCUACUUUUAUCAAGUGUCUAUAAAUCAUGUUCAUCUCACAUUACUGUGUAGUGACCAAUUCAGCCAAUUAUUAGUCUGGGAAAAGUGUAUAAUUAAAGAAGCAGAUAGUGUAUAAUAUUCGUGCUUUCUCUAUCCCUUAGCAAAAGCAGUAACACCGAGUAGAUUUAAAAAAAUGACACGUUUGCUUAGUGAAAGAAGGAAGAAAUGAAUAAAUCCAUCAAUCAGAUGGUUCUCUGUGGCCAAAUUAAAGACCAGACUGAGAAAUUCUGAUUACUUGAAAUCAUUUUUUUCCUCUGGCCACAAGGCAUAAUGCCCUGAAAAUGUUUGUUUAUUUUGGAAGGCAAAAGCUGAUCUGCAGCUAUUUUCUUUAUUUUUAUAUUCAAAUGCCUAUAAAACAGAAAAACACUGGAGACCUAUUCAUUGCUCACAAAUGAUCUAUAGGGUAAUAAUGUGCUGGCUUUUCCAGCUGUGAUGCACUUUGGUGCUAUCUUGGGUUUAAUUGAAAAUAUGCUGUGACCUUGGUUUUGUUCACUGGGCGAAGGGGGAUAUAAUUGGCAUGAAGCCUCUGAAGAACUCUCUUUUCAAUGAAUGUCAUUUGGUUAAUUUGGGGUUCGCCUGAGGGAAAUAAUGUGUGAAGUCCUGUAAAUACAAGGUGCUUUUUAUUCACAUGGCAUUAACAUGAAGUUAACAACCUUUUUUUUUUUAAAUCAGCAUUUUAUUUUGCAAAACCGAUUUGUUGAUUCCUAAAUGCUAUCAGCAUGAUAAUAGUAUUGUCCUUAACAGUCUCCUGCUCCAUUAUAAUUAAAUAAACAGCUUUCAGAUUGCAGUCCAAAAAUGUCUGUGCUCCAUUCUUAACUUAAGGAGUUUCCAUAGAAACCAUGGGCAGAAAGUUUAACUGACAUUUAUUGGGCUUGAGGCUAUAGGGAGCUUUGAUAUCUCUAUUUUCCUCUCUAUCGUUCUGUAUGUGAAUCUUCUUAGCUUUAUUAAACCCUUGAAAACAUCACUUGCUCCAAGUCUGCUCCUCCCUCUCCUCUUCCCUCAACCUUCCUCCUCUUCUCCCUCCUCCUUCUUUUCCUCUUCUCUGUCUCUUAUUAACAUUGAGGAAGUAAUUUGGACUCAGUUAGAUUUAACAAAUGCAAUAAUACUAAAAUGCACUCUGAUACUUAAGUGUAAUUGUGUUAUUAGCUGGAAAUGCUUUUCUUCAAAAAUAAAAAGAAUUGAGAGUGAAGUUAACCAAUGUAAUGCAUGCUGGCAGGAAGGAAACAUUGGUGGCUGGUUGCAAGUUUGUGAUGCAUGUAUCAAGAUCCUCUUUCUUCUCUGGAUGUGACUAUUCCUUGAUUUAUUCAAGCAAGAUGGAAUGUUUUCUCUUAGUUUCAACUUUCAGAAGGAAGCAGAACGAUAGUUUGAUCAAAUUAAUCCAGAAUAGAAAAUAGAACAAAAUAGAAUAGUUGUUCCGGGG